GAAUAUUCUUGGUAGCAAUAUCAAGGUAUGUCUAGUGGCUGUAAGGGUGCGUAACACGUGGGGAAUCUGCCGAGAAGUGGGGGAUAGCUCGUCGAAAGGCGAAUUAAUACCGCACGUGGUUAGUGGAGACAUCUUCACGAUACCAAAGCCGGGGCAACCUGGCGCUUCUUGAUGACCCCGCGGCCUAUCAGCUAGUUGGUGAGGUAACGGCUCACCAAGGCUAUGACGGGUAGCUGGUCUGAGAGGACGACCAGCCACACUGGAACUGAGACACGGUCCAGACACCUACGGGUGGCAGCAGUCGAGAAUUUUUCUCAAUGGGGGAAACCCUGAAGGAGCGACGCCGCGUGGAGGAUGAAGGUCUUCGGAUUGUAAACUCCUGUCAUUUGGGAACAAUGUGCAUUGGUUAACUGCCGAUGCAUUGAUAGUACCAGAAGAGGAAGAGACGGCUAACUCUGUGCCAGCAGCCGCGGUAAUACAGAGGUCUCAAGCGUUGUUCGGAUUCAUUGGGCGUAAAGGGUGCGUAGGUGGCGAGGUUAGUCUGGUGUGAAAUCUCGGGGCUCAACCCCGAAACUGCACUGGAUACUGCCUUGCUNGAGUACUGGAGAGGAGAUUGGAAUUUACGGUG
rnacentral:rRNA from 1 species